UACGAAGGGGGCUAGCGUUGCUCGGAAUCACGGGGCGUAAAGGGUGCGUAGGCGGGUCUUUAAGUUGGGGGUGAAAUCCUGGAGCUCAACUCCAGAACUGCCUUUGAUACUGAGGAUCUUGAGUUCGGGAGAGGUGAGUGGAACUGCGAGUGUAGAGGUGAAAUUCGUAGAUAUUCGCAAGAACACCAGUGGCGAAGGCGGCUCACUGGCCCGAUACUGACGCUGAGGCACGAAAGCGUGGGGAGCAAACAGG
rnacentral:rRNA from 1 species